rnacentral:rRNA from 1 species
CCUCUGGUGUACCAGUUGUUCUGCCAAGGGCAUGGCUGGGUAGCUAUGUACGGAAUGGAUAAGCGCUGAAAGCAUCUAAGCGCGAAGCCAACUUCAAGAUAAGAUUUCCCACCGCAAGGGUAAGACCCCAGAAAGACUAUCUGGUUGAUAGGUCGAAGGUGUAAGUGCAGCAAUGUAUUUAGCUUAUCGAUACUAAUAGGUCGAGGACUUGACCAAU